rnacentral:rRNA from 1 species
UACGUAGGGGGCUAGCGUUAUCCGGAAUUACUGGGCGUAAAGGGUGCGUAGGUGGUUUCUUAAGUCAGAGGUGAAAGGCUACGGCUCAACCGUAGUAAGCCUUUGAAACUGGGAAACUUGAGUGCAGGAGAGGAGAGUGGAAUUCCUAGUGUAGCGGUGAAAUGCGUAGAUAUUAGGAGGAACACCAGUUGCGAAGGCGGCUCUCCGGACUGUAACUGACACUGAGGCACGAAAGCGUGGGGAGCAAACAGGAUUAGAUACCCGUGUAGUCCCUGAGCGGGCU